GAGUUUGAUCCUGGCUCAGGAUGAACGCUGGCGGCGUGCUUAACACAUGCAAGUCGAGCGAAGCACUUUUGCGGAUUUCUUCGGAUUGAAGCAACUGUGACUGAGCGGCGGACGGGUGAGUAACACGUAAACAACCUGCCUUCAGGAUGGGGACAACAGACGGAAACGACUGCUAAUACCGAAUAAGUUCCAAGAGCCGCAUGGCCCAUGGAAGAAAAGGUGGCCUCUACCUGUAAGCUAUCGCCUGAAGAGGGGUUUGCGUCUGAUUAGCUGGUUGGCGGGGUAACGGCCCACCAAAGCGACGAUCAGUAGCCGACCUGAGAGGGUGACCGGCCACAUUGGGACUGAGACACGGCCCAAACUCCUACGGGAGGCAGCAGUGGGGAAUAUUGCACAAUGGGGGAAACCCUGAUGCAGCGACGCCGCGUGAGCGAAGAAGUAUUUCGGUAUGUAAAGCUCUAUCAGCAGGGAAGAAGAAAUGACGGUACCUGACUAAGAAGCCCCGGCUAACUACGUGCCAGCAGCCGCGGUAAUAC
rnacentral:rRNA from 1 species